rnacentral:rRNA from 1 species
UGAGGAAUCUUGCGCAAUGGGGGCAACCCUGACGCAGCCACGCCGCGUGCCGGAAGACGGCCCUAUGGGUUGUAAACGGCUUUUACCAGGGAAGAAAGUGCGCCUUUCGAGGGGCAUUGACGGUACCUGGAGAAUCAGCACCGGCUAACUCCGUGCCAGCAGCCGCGGUAAUACGGAGGGUGCAAGCGUUGUCCGGAAUUAUUGGGUGUAAAGGGUGCGCAGGCGGAAGCUUAAGUCGAGGGUGAAAGACAACCGCUCAACGGUUGCAGUGCCCCCGAUACUGGGUUUCUUGAGUUCAGAAGAGGUUGGUGGAAUUCGUGGUGUAGCGGUGAAAUGCAUAGAGAUCACGAAGAACACCGGUGGCGAAGGCGGCCAACUGGUCUGGAACUGACGCUGAGGCACGAAAGCGUGGGGAGCGAACAGGAUUAGAUACCCUGGUAGUCCACGCUGUAAAUGAUGUAUGCUAGAUGUCGGCCUUCGGGGUCGGUGUUGUAGUUAACGCGCUAAGCAUACCACCUGGGGAACCCAUGGCAAGCUUAUCGAUACCGUCGACCUCGA